rnacentral:lncRNA from 1 species
UGCUAACAAAAAUCUGCAAUAGAAUAAGCGACAAUUGAGGGACUUGUGCUUUGACCUUCACUUUCACGGGCGAUGACAAAUUCCUCUAGCCUGAUGAUCAGAAUCACUCAUAUGUUGUGUUUGGUUGGGGUGAAUGAUUCCGGAAGGAAUGGAAUGAAAAAUGAACUAUCUUAUGGACAAUUUUUAAGAAAAUUCAUUCCUUCCUCCAUUCCAUUCCUUACCUCACGGGCUAGAUAUCACACCUUCAAUUUGAGAUAGAAUGCUUCAUUCUCUUCCAUCCUCAAUUUCUUCUCAAAUCUCAUCAUAGCAAUUUUGCACUUCCUCAAAUUUUUUUCAAAACUUUCUUACUAUCUCUAUUAGCUUCAAGUAUUUUUACUCAUUCCAUUCCAUUCUCUCCAACCAAACACAACAUUAUGGACAUUCCUUAGCAAUUGCAUGACAGAGUGGCGUGCUCCUGUAUCAUCAUUUUCUCCUUCAAUGCUUUCUUUUAUAUGUGCCUAGUUGUUGCUCAGUAUAGAAGAUGUCUGAUGUUUUGGAUUCUGGGUUGUAAGCAUUAGUCUCAGCUUGUUAGUUGUGACUGCUUACUUAUUGCAAUGUCACAGGAUCAAGUUAAAGGCUCUUCUCUAGAAGUUGACAUGUAUAUAUUUACUAAAAACCUUAAUGUUUAA